rnacentral:lncRNA from 1 species
CAGUUAUGGCUGGCGGUUUGCUGUCAAAAGUUAAGCUAUCUUUUCUUCGAAAAAAUCACCAAUUAUAGUGAAAUUUGAGUGAUUUCGUCUGUAACUUGUCGGUGAACCCGGUGAUGUGUUCAAUUCCGUGUGUAUUUUGGAUAACCUUAAUGUUUUUCAUAAACUCACAGUCUGAGGAAACGUGAAAGUCGUGCAGCCGACCGUCAACUAUUUUGUUCAAACUCAUUGUAUUCUACUGAAUGUGCCAUCGAAAUGAUACAGGUGACAACCAACACUAGCUUUAUUACAUGCUGAAACCUUAAUUCUUUAUUAGGAUUCAUCUUAAUUAUCGGCAGUUUCUAUUCCAAGACUUGCUAGAUCACCAACCCCAGCAUGGACCAAUCUCUCAUUCCAUCUUCUAGAGAACCUUGGAUAACUGAUCGAUGGUUUCAUGUAUAUAGCCUAUAAGACCAAAUGUCUGGUUUUUCACUCCAAAAUAAGGCAAUGACUACACGUUCAACGCGGAUUAUUCGUUUUGUCAUCGAACUUGACUCAUUCCAUCUUCUGGAUUGCUCAGGAAACCUGAUUUGCGUUACCUCCAUUUAGGUAAUGACCGAGAAGAUACGGCCUACAUGAACAUCAUUUAGGUGGUCAGCAUCAUUCGACUACCCAACCGACUUCUACUACCCUGCUCUCAACACAGCACGAAGUUUUACCCUUUAAAUUGUUGGCUGUUCGCAAUGUGUGAUGACGUUUCCUUGGACGAGAUGAUGAUUUUGGCGAGAAAAAUAUUGCGGACGAUUUCAUGCUGUCCUUUACCAUGGACCAAUCUCUAAUUCCAUCUUUUAGAUAACCUUGAAUCUGAUUGGCAGUGGUUUCAUGUGUUCCAAAUUACAGUUUUCUAAUUUGGCAUGAUAGCCUUUUUGAAAAGUAAUGUCCUUUCAAGAAAGACAACAAGGUCCCUUGUUUGCUAACCCAAUGGCUGCUACCCUUGAAUCUACCAUUUUACUUCCUUAAACGGGUCCUCUUGAUUUGAAGUAA